UACGGAGGGUGCGGGCGUUGUCCGGAAUCACUGGGCGUAAAGGGCGCGUAGGUGGCCGAGCAAGGUCGCGGUGAAAGCCCGGGGCUCAACCCCGGAACUGCCUUUGAAACUAGGUUGCUAGAAUCUUGGAGAGGUCAGUGGAAUUCCGAGUGUAGAGGUGAAAUUCGUAGAUAUUCGGAAGAACACCAGUGGCGAAGGCGACUGACUGGACAAGUAUUGACGCUGAGGUGCGAAAGCGUGGGGAGCAAACAGG
rnacentral:rRNA from 1 species